GGGGAAGGCAGCCCUGUCCUCCCUGCCAGGCCUCCAGGAAGGCUGUGGGCGCGGUGGCCCUGGGCUGGGUCAGGGAUCUGCAGAGAGUCACCCGGGCCGUCCCGGGGCGGGCGGCCACACAAUGGCAGGAAGCCAGGCCUCCGCUUGGUCUGGGGCACAGACCGCGGCUUCCUCCAGCGAAAUGGGGACUGGGCCCGGCGUCUCUGCCCGCCCAGCAGCCUCCGGGCUGGGCCCUAGGCCACUCUCCCUGGACCCGGAGCCCUUCGGGGCUCAGGGCAGCAGAGACCAGGGCCCUCAGUGCUGGCCUUCCAUGUCUGGGGACCCCUGCCACCCCUUUUCCUCCUGUGCCACCCUGCUCAGCUUCGGCCCCAGCCCUGCGAGAGGCUUCCGGUGUCCCAUGGGUGCUCCCCCCAGGGCCCCGCUGUUCCGUCAGGAUGACGGCUUUGGAGGUGCCUUGUGAUCUCCCGUCCCCCCCCAGUCCUCGGGACUUUGC
rnacentral:lncRNA from 1 species